CAAAGGUUAAUUCCGGUGGCGGAUGGGCAUGCGUCGCAUUAGUUAGUUGGCGGUGUAACGGACCACCAAGACGACGAUGCGUAGGGGUUCUGAGAGGAAGGUCCCCCACACUGGUACUGAGACACGGACCAGACUCCUACGGGAGGCAGCAGUGAGGAAUAUUGGUCAAUGGGCGGGAGCCUGAACCAGCCAAGUCGCGUGAGGGAUGACGGCCCUAUGGGUUGUAAACCUCUUUUGCCGGGGAGCAAAGUGCCGCACGUGUGCGGUUUGGAGAGUACCCGGAGAAAAAGCAUCGGCUAACUCCGUGCCAGCAGCCGCGGUAAUACGGAGGAUGCGAGCGUUAUCCGGAUUUAUUGGGUUUAAAGGGUGCGUAGGCGGACGCUUAAGUCAGCGGUAAAAUUGCGGGGCUCAACCUCGUCGAGCCGUUGAAACUGGGUGCCUUGAGUGGGCGAGAAGUACGCGGAAUGCGUGGUGUAGCGGUGAAAUGCAUAGAUAUCACGCAGAACUCCGAUUGCGAAGGCAGCGUACCGGCGCCCAACUGACGCUGAAGCACGAAGGCGUGGGUAUCGAACAGGAUUAGAUACCCUGGUAGUCCACGCAGUAAACGAUGA
rnacentral:rRNA from 1 species